CCCCUUUCAGUGUCACACCUGGAGAGUUUCCAGUACUCUACCAGUCUCGACUACGGGAGGGAGAGUCAAGCAGAGGCCUACCCAUUCCAUUCUUAGCUUGGCAGUGGCUAGUGAGUGGAAUUCAAUCUGCUACAGGU
rnacentral:snoRNA from 1 species